GUGAGUGAGUGACGCACGCCGAGAGAGAGUGAGUGAGUGACGCAGAGAGAGAGAGUGAGUGAGUGAGUGACGCAGAGAGAGUGAGUGAGUGAGUGAAUGACGCACGCCGAGAGUGAGAGAGCGAGUGACGCGCCGAGUGAGAGAGAGAGCGAGAGUGACGCGCCGAGUGAGAGAGAGCGAGAGUGACGCACACCGAGAGAGACGCACACCGAGAGAGCGAGAGAGAGUGACGCACACCGAGAGGGAGAGCGAGAGUGACUCACACCGAGAGAGAGAGAGAGAGAGAGUGACGCACACCGAGAGAGAGAGAGAGUGACGCACACCGAGAGAGAGAGAGAGAGUGACGCACACCGAGAGAGAGAGAGAGAGAGUGACGCACACCGAGAGAGAGAGAGAGAGAGUGACGCACACCGAGAGAGAGAGAGAGUGACGCACACCGAGAGAGAGAGUGACGCACACCGAGAGAGAGAGAGAGUGACGCACACCGAGAGAGAGAGAGAGAGAGUGACGCACACCGAGAGAGAGAGAGAGAGAGAGUGACGCACACCGAGAGAGAGAGAGAGUGACGCACACCGAGAGAGAGAGAGGGAGAGAGACGAGAGGGAGAGAGACGCAGAGGGAGAGAGACGCAGAGGGAGAGAGACGCAGAGGGAGAGAGACGCAAAGAAAGAGAGAGCGGGAGAGAGAGACGCAGAGAGGGAGACAUGCAUAGCGAGGGAGAGACGCAGAGGUAGAGAGACACGCAGAGAGAGCGACACGCACAGAGAGAGAGACCAGAGAGAGAGACACGCACAGAGAGAGAGAGAGAGACACGCACAGAGAGAGAGAGAGAGAGACACGCACAGAGAGAGAGAGAGAGAGACACGCACAGAGAGAGAGAGAGACACGCACAGAGAGAGAGAGAGAGAGAGAGAGACACGCAGAGGGAGAGAGAGGGAGACGGAAAGAGAGAGAGGGAGACGGAAAGAGAGAGAGGGAGACGCAGAGGGAGAGAGACGCAGAGGGAGAGAGACGCAGAGGGAGAGAGAGACGCAGAGGGAGAGAGAGACGCAGAGGGAGAGAGAGACGCGCAGAGGGAGAGAGAGACGCGCAGAGGGAGAGAGAGACGCAGAGGGAGAGAGAGCCGCGCAGAGGGAGAGAGAGCCGCGCAGAGGGAGAGAGAGCCGCGCAGAGGGAGAGAGAGCCGCGCAGAGGGAGAGAGAGCCGCGCAGAGGGAGAGAGAGCCGCGCAGAGGGAGAGAGAGCCGCGCAGAGGGAGAGAGAGCCGCGCAGAGGGAGAGAGCCACGCAGAGAGAAACGCACACACACAGAGAGAGAGCCACGCAGAGAGAGAGACGCAGAGAGAGAAACGCACACACACAGAGAGAGAGCCACGCAGAGAGAGAGCCACGCAGAGAGGGAGAGACGCGCAGAGAGAGAGAAACACGCAGAGAGAGAGAAACACGCAGAGAGAGAGGCACACACACAGAGAGAGGCACACACACAGAGAGAGGCAGAGAGAGAGGCACACCGAGAGAGAAAGAGAAACAGAGAGAGAGACACGCAGAGAGAGGCACGCACACGCAGAGAGAGGCACGCACACGCAGAGAGAGGCACGCACACGCAGAGAGAGGCACGCACACGCAGAGAGAGGCACGCACACGCAGAGAGAAGCACGCACACGCUGAGAGAGGCACGCACACGCUGAGAGACAGAGAAACAGAGAGAGAAAGAAACAGGGAGAGGGAAAGUGAAACAGAAAGGGGGAGAGUGAGACACAGAGAGAGACAGAGAGAGACACACACACAAAGAGACACACACACACACACACAGCGAGACACACACACACACACACACACACACACACACACACACACACACACAGACUGAGAGGGACACACAGAGAGAGAGAGAGACACAGAGAGAGAGAGAGAGACACAGAGAGAGGCAGGCCCAGAGAGCGAGAGACAGAGAUAUUUUCGGGGACCAAUUUUGGCUUGUGACUUCUACUUUCAGAACUACUGGCUAAAAAUUAUAUAGAAGUACCAGAGAAUAUCUUUAACUUAUGUGUUAAUUGUGUUCUGUUCUGACAUUACCCACAGCAUGAAUAGGGAAAAAGACAUGGACAUGAAGAAAGUGUCCAUUGCGUCUGGCCUUCAGGUAUAUAUCACAAACGGAGUCUAAACUCAAGUCAUUUGGAAUAUGCAGAUAUUCCAUGACACAGAUUGACUCUGGCUGCAUUUCCUCCUUGAAACAGAACAGAUCACUCUAUUUCCUUAGCUUUUUCCUCAUUCCAGAUUCCAUUCCAGAAAUUCGGCACAUUUUAUUCCCCCUAGACAUUCCGCGGCGUUAUGAUGUGCUGUCCCAAGACUUGACCUGUUCUUGGCUGACAGCAGAGGUUAAAGGUUGACUGUGUUGUUUGGUGUCUUGGUUGCAAUUAUGAGUGACUAGCAACAAACCAGGCCCACUGUGAGAGAUAACGGCUGUGCUUGUUGAGACGAGUUCUGAAAUGUUUCAGAGAAGUCUAUAACGGCUAUGACUGUCAACGCCUGACGAUUCUGUGUGGUCGUCGGACCCUCUGCUGCCGUCGUGCUGUGGUCAAGGUCAGGUAGCCACUUCAGGCCAGUCUGUGUUGACUGGUCCUAGUGAAGUCCUGGCCUGCAAGUAACAUCACAUAAAAGAAGACCAUGAAGUGAGAAACAGCAUAUGAUUGGUUACAUUCCGGUGAUAUCCAGUCUGAAACGGUUUAAAUAUUACAUAAACCACAUAACUAUGCUUUACUAUUGAUUCAUAAGACAUUCCAUUAGAUUUUAACUGGUUUUGGGGUCGAGAAGGCUCAUCAAGUCAUGUCCAAACGUUCAUAUUUAUGCCCUCAGGUUUGGAUAGAGAGGAGCUAGUUGGUGUAGUUCAUCUGCAGAAUUGGUAGAUGUUUCAUCAUUGGAUUUCAAAGAAAAUGGGUAAACUGUCCUUAUUCAGUCCAUGUCUUUCUGAACUUAAAUAUUUUACAAUGUCAUGUAAUUAUUGGCAUCAUCUUCAUCAAUGUAGAGCCAAAUCGGCACAUAAGCCAGAUUCACACUAUAGGGCUGACCUGUCUUAUGCUGGCUAGGAUAUUUUAGUUCCCAGCAACUAUAUGGAUGCGUAACCAGGCCAGCGCAGCUCGGCCCAGUUUGGCUCAGUAGUGUGAAAAACCUAACAGUGUGUUUGAGAAAGCCAUUCAUCUACACGAACCAGCGCUGAAUAUCGUGUCACCAGAGCACAUAGCUUUUGGCUAGCAGUCAUCAGUGUUCAUCAGCUCAUCCAAUCAGCUUGCUCCUUAUUGGACCUGUGGGGUCAAAGGUCAUACACAAACACAAUUAAAGGAUUGGUUGCUGAUGUGACUGUCCACUUUGUGUGUUAUUCUGACCAUCAUUGAUUGGGGCCAAGUUAUAGAAGGAGGAGAGUGUGGAAGGCACAGGAGGCUGCUGAGGGGAGGAGGGCUCAUAAUAACGGCGCAAAUGGAAUGGCAUCAAACACUUGGAAACAAUGUGUUUGAUGUAUUUGAUACCAUUUCACUAAUUCUACUCCAGCCAUUAUCCACAAGCCUGUCCUCCCCAAUUAAGGUGCCACCAAUCUCCUGUGGUGUAAGGGACAAUGACUGUUUUUGACCUGCCAUUGAGAGGAAACAAGAUGAAAGAAAAUGUCAGGAACACGUUACAAUAACAAUACCCCAGCGGUAUAAAGAUGAAUGCAAACAUCUUCCUGUGUACCGCAACCAACCACACUACAACACUUAGAAUGUGAUCUGUGUUAGGUAGAAACCAAUGUUGCAAGAUUAGUCCAUAGGAAACAUGUAGAAACAUCUAGUAAAAAGGCUCUUAAGAAACCUUUAGGGCAUUUGUGUUUCUUCUGUUUUGCUCACGAUUCCCUUGGUGUGUGCUCAAGAUGUUAUUGGAGAGUGUUGCUAGGUGAUGAGCGUGCUCACCAAGUGCACAGUACUUCUAGGCCUACUGUUAGUCUGUCCACUGUUCUCAGUUGACUGGACCUGAUGAUGCGAUGCCACACCUAUUGUUGUGUACCGGCCGUGCGCGGCUGAUGAUUAUUUAGUAUUUUAACGUAGAGAUCUCGUGUCUUAAAUAAAGUUAUC
rnacentral:lncRNA from 1 species